AGAGUUUGAUCAUGGCUCAGAACGAACGCUGGCGGCGUGCCUAACACAUGCAAGUCGUGCGAGAAAGGGAACUUCGGUUCCUGAGUAAAGCGGCGCAAGGGUGAGUAGCGCGUGGGUAAGCUACCUCCGAGAUCGGGACAACCUGGCGAAAGCCGGGCUAAUACCGGAUAAGCCCACGGGGGCUUCGGCUCCUGCGGGAAAUGGGUGCCCUCUCCACGGAAGGUACCGCUCGAAGAUGUGCCCGCGUCCGAUUAGCUAGUUGGUGAGGUAACGGCUCACCAAGGCUGAGAUCGGUAGCUGGUCUGAGAGGACGAUCAGCCACACUGGGACUGAGACACGGCCCAGACUCCUACGGGAGGCAGCAGUGGGGAAUAUUGCGCAAUGGGGGAAACCCUGACGCAGCAACGCCGCGUGGGUGAUGAAGGCCCUCGGGUCGUAAAGCCCUGUCGGGCGGGACGAACAGUCGCGGGUGAACAACCCGACGACUUUGACGGUACCGCCAAAGGAGGCACCGGCUAACUCCGUGCCAGCAGCCGCGGUAAUACGGAGGGUGCAAGCGUUGUUCGGAAUUACUGGGCGUAAAGAGCUUGUAGGCGGCUCGUUAAGUCUGAUGUGAAAGCCCUCGGCUCAACCGGGGAAGUGCAUUGGAUACUGGCGAGCUUGAGUAUGGGAGAGGAGAGCGGAAUUCCCGGUGUAGAGGUGAAAUUCGUAGAUAUCGGGAGGAACAUCUGUGGCGAAGGC
rnacentral:rRNA from 1 species